UAACAUUGUACAAUCACUUAUCAGUAUUUUAUGGUGCACUUCUCUCUUUUGUUCUGUGACGACGAAUUUUUAUUUGGCAUUCAGCGGACGUAGCAAAGCGCUCACGAUACGAAGCGGUAGCGAUUCCGAUUGGGAGCGCGUUGGACAAUUGAAUUUACAAAGCCGUAACGGAAACGUCUGGUUGCACCUGCGCUACAAAUCCAACAUGUUGUGGGGUGGACGCUGUUUUUUAGUAGGGAGUUUAUUUUGUGCUGGGUAGCGGUAGCGAAGCGAUCGGUAUCGGUAUUUGGUCUUGAAAGAGGAAUUUGGUUAUGGUGUAUUGGAUGGGUCUCAACGGGAAAGUUUUCUCGAAAACCCCUCGAGGUUUCGAAGAUAGUAUCAAGAAUGUAUUUUCACUAAACUGAAGAAAUAUUGUAUAGGAAAUGCAGAAACUUGAAUAAAACCUACACAGUCAUCAAAGACAAGAUUGGGAAAACUGGAACCAGAACCAGGUUGAUGAAAUACAUAGGGAAAACAAUUAACCUCCCUAACCUAAUAACCUUGACAGCAGUUCCUGUUAUAAGAAAAAAGGCCCUUGCCUAAAAUAUGAAAGAUCCAUCCGCUAUCCCAGAUGGAAACCACUCCAAUCAAAGCAACUCCUGUAUACCGCUGUAGAAGUACCAGGGAGUCAAUGUUUGGAAUGUUUUAUCUAUGAAGAAAUCUGUCAAAUAUCGAGGAAGCUCGUAAGCAAGAAAAUCCAGAAAAAAAGAAAGAAAAUUUUGCACUUAUUAUGUAAAUUAUAAAAAAAGAUCAAUAAUUUAAAAAC